rnacentral:rRNA from 1 species
AACGAACGCUGGCGGCAUGCCUAACACAUGCAAGUCGAACGAGACCUUCGGGUCUAGUGGCGCACGGGUGCGUAACGCGUGGGAACCUGCCCUUAGGUUCGGAAUAACUCCCCGAAAGGGGUGCUAAUACCGGAUAAUGUCUUCGGACCAAAGAUUUAUCGCCUUUGGAUGGGCCCGCGUUGGAUUAGCUAGUUGGUAGGGUAAAAGCCUACCAAGGCGACGAUCCAUAGCUGGUCUGAGAGGAUGAUCAGCCACACUGGGACUGAGACACGGCCCAGACUCCUGGGGGCGGCAGCGGGGGGGAAUCUGGAACAGGGGGCAAAAUGCCGGCCCAACGAUGCCGGGUGGGUGAUGGAGUCCUGGGGGUUAAAAAGCUUUUUUCCCGGGGAAGCAAAUACCGGAACCGGGGAAAAAGCCUCCGCCAACCCCCGU